rnacentral:rRNA from 1 species
UACGGGGGGGAGCAAGCGUUGUUCGGAUUUACUGGGCGUAAAGGGCGGGGUAGGCGGCCACCGCCAAGUCAGUUGUGAAAUCUCUGGGCUUAACCCAGAAAGGUCAACUGAUACUGCGGGGCUAGAGUGCAGAAGGGGCAACUGGAAUUCUCGGUGUAGCGGUGAAAUGCGUAGAUAUCGGAAGGAACACCAGUGGCGAAAGCGGCUUCCUGGUCCAGCACCGACGUUCAGGCACGAAAGCGUGGGGAGCAAACAGG